rnacentral:rRNA from 1 species
CCCUUAGAUGUACUGGGCCGCACGCGCGCUACACUGAUUCAUGCAACAAGUUUUGUCCUUGGCUGAUAGGCCUGGGUAAUCUUUGAACGUGAAUCGUGAUGGGGAUAGAUGAUUGCAAUUAUUCAUCUUCAACGAGGAAUUCCUAGUAAACGCAAGUCAUCAGCUUGCAUUGAUUACGUCCCUGCCCUUUGUACACACCGCCCGUCGCACCUACCGAUUGAAUGGUCCGGUGAAAUCUUCGGAUCUGAGAGAUGUCUGAUUAAUUUCGGACGCCUUUUGGAAAAGUUGUUUAAACCUUACCAUUUAGAGGAAGGUGAANUCGUANCA